rnacentral:lncRNA from 1 species
AAGCUUGCUCUGAGCACCACCUCUUGAAAGGCCAAGGAGUUGCAGGACAAGCCUUCUUGACCAACGGUCCUUGCUUCUCACCUGAUGUCGCUAACUACAAGAAGUCCGAGUACCCUCUCUCUCACCACGCUAAUAUGUUCGGCUUACACGGCGCCGUUGCGAUACGCCUGCGCUGCAUCCACACGGGGGACGCUGAUUUUGUGUUGGAGUUCUUUUUGCCUAAGGACUGUGAUAAUAUGGGGGAGCAGAGGAAAAUGUUGAACGCUCUUUCGACCAUUAUGGCUCAUGUGCCUAGGAGCUUGAGGACUGUUACGGAUAAGGAGCUGGAAGAAGAGAGCGAAGUGGUGGAAAGGGAGGAGGUAGUCACGCCAAAGGUAGAGAACACACCGGAGCUACAUCAUAGUAAUCCUCAGAAUCUUGGAUUGGUGUUUGAUGGAGGAGACAAGCUGCCAAAUGAUGGGUUUGGUUUGAAGAGAGGUUAUGACUACACCAGAGAUGCUAAUAUCAAUGAGAGCAACACUUUCACCAUUGGUGGUUUUAAUAGCAUGGCUGAGAAGAAGCGUACAAAGGCAGAUAAAACCAUCACUUUGGAUGUUCUUAGACAGUACUUUGCAGGGAGUCUUAAAGAUGCAGCCAAGAGUAUCGGUGGUAAGCAGCAUUUUGUUUUGUUAUAUUGUUUUUUUUUUUUUUAUAAAUCGUAGACUCUAAAUCAAAAACACUAAACACUAAAACAUUAAACCCUAAACUCUAAAUCCUAAACCCUUGAGUGUUUUAGUGUUUUUGAUCUAAAGUUUGGAAUUUAUCCAAGGGUUUAGGAUUUACCCAAGGGUUUACGGUUUAGUAUUUAGGGUUUAAGAUUUAGUGUUUUGCUGACGACGUUAAAAAUAUUUUUUUAUAAAUAUUUUGUUUUCUGUAACUACUACUAUUUUUUAUUUUUUUAUUUUUUUACUUUUUUAUUUUAAAAACAUAAUAUAACUUGACAAUAUUUUUUUUUAAGAUAGUGAAUAUAAAAUAACACAAUCCUAUUGGUUGGUGAAUCUACAAAGGUUGAAUCCAAAAAUGACUCCGUUCCAUAGAGAGAAAAAAAAAAAAGAGAAAAGUUGAUACAUUGUCUUUGUCUCCGGAUUCUUCACAAUGGAGGAAUAUAUGGGAAGAGUGUUUGCAUUUUCGUUUCAAAAAAAAUAAAAAUUCAAAAUACUAGAUGCCCAAAUUAGUGACCUAACGAAAACAUUUUAAUACUGGCGACUGAUCAUUUCAUAAAAUAUCUUUUGCGUUCAUAUACUCUAUCCAGUCAUUUAGAGAACUAAGUUAUUCUUUUUUGUUAAAUUUAGAGAACUAAGUUGACCAAAUUAAAAUGAAAGAUGAUAUUUAUAUUUUAAAGCCACAUGUCUUAGUUGAAUUUUUUUAUAGUUUGAUAUAUAUGAAAUGUUGGGCUGGGCAUGCGUCAUUAGCUAUAUCGUUAGACCAAGUAACAAUUUCGUUCUUUCAGUGAAAAAUAAAUAUAUAACAUGAAAAUAAAAUAAUAAAUAAAUAAAAGCAGAGAAAUGUGAACUUACUUUUUGGCAAUCCCAGUAAUUAAAUAGCUCCGGCUAUCAAUAUUUACAAUUAUAUAUUUCAUAUUUCAAUAAACAACAUUUUAACAAAACAAGAAUCUAAAGAAACAUUUUUCAAAAAAAAAAAAUCUAAAGAAACUUCUUAGAUGAAUAGCUCUGUUUAAAAAAAAAAGGGCGAAAAGUAAAGAGAUCUCGUGAGCACCGGCGUUCAGCCUCUUCGGUCGUCGCCGGCCGAACGCCGGUGGCAUCUCUUCCCUCUCUGCCUUUUAAUUUUGUUCUCCUACUCCUCUUCGUUGUCGGCGUCAAUAUGUUUGGUGUCUCUAGUUGAAGCUUGCUCGAUGUUGGAACCCUAAAUCUUCUCUGGAAGAGCUAGAUUCGACGGUCUGGGGCUUCCCUUUGGAGCAUCGACGAGGUGUCUUCGGUUGUAGGGUAAGGGAGUCGGCUUUUAAGUCUUAGACCUUGUUAGAUCUCGUUUUCCUUUUCGUAGAUCUUGUCUUCGGUUGUUUUGAUGGUGACGCGUGAGGUUUGAAAUUAGGUUCUACCCUCUGUUUCUUUUAUGGGACAAGCAGUAGUAGCCUUUGUGGAAGGGUACGUGAGGUGUAGCUGCGUAUGUGGCUUGGCGUUUGGCUUGGGCCUGGGAGUGUUGCCUCUGUUCUUUGGAAUCAACUCCGUUGAUCUUUGAUGAUCAAAGACUUUUGCGAGCUCUUCUUUAGAUUUGAGAGGAACGGAAGAAGAUAGUUGGGUUCGGAGCGAUGGCUUCACUGUUGUUCGCUUGUCGCCGUGUUGAUCGUGUUAGUUCUGGAUUUAGAGUGGUUAUUAUCCAGUUACCGGCUGUGUGAAUAAAUCGGGUUCGAGAAGCUUUUAGUCUAGUUUCCCAGGAAAAAAAAGUAUGCACAGUGUGGAGCAACACUUGGUAAUAUAUAUCGACAAAAAAGGGAUAAAAUAAUUUGAUAGAAAUUAGAAGAGGUAAUAUAUGUGGAGUGCACCUAAUUGGGAGUAUGUGAGCAAAGCCCCCCAAGUGGAGGAAAGCUAAGUUAUGCACCACUUGUUCGCCUUUUUAGCUUACGCUAUCUCUUUGUGUUAGAUAGAAAGUACAAACUCUUACGUGUAUAUGCGUAUAUCUUUCUAUAUAAUUGGUGCGUAUACGUAUUACUUCUAUAACUGGUAUUGUAAUAUUGAAUAGCUGACCCCAGAAAACAACCCUUUCUUUUCCCAAAAAAAAAAAAACUUGACUUCCACAUAACAUAACACCACCGUGAAAUUAUACAAAAGAAGGUGAUAAGGAUUAAUGAAUGGCUCGAUAGAUUUGUCUCAACCAAUCAAAACAUCUUUAGUAUUAGUCUCGACUCAAGAGUAGUGUUGCCUAACAAAAGGUUUGUAGUUUUCUAUUAUAUUUGAGCGGUGGAAUCUAUAAGAUUCACGAGGCGAAAACGGUGUUGGUUACACAAUAAUACUCUGCAUUAUAUAUGAGAAACUUUUGUUUUACUAAACUAUUUUAUAUUGUCAAUUUGAUAAGAAAACUGUAUUUUUUAAGCAAGUGGAAGGAAGAACCUACUCCCUCACUUGUUUCUUUUUAUUUACUUGAUUUAUUAUAUUUCUGCAUAGAAAGCCUAAAAUGUAUAAUGGCAUUUAGAUUCUUUUUUUUUUUAAGACUCGGCUUUCAGAUUCUUUGAUUUUAUGUAGUGAUAAAAAUCAGUUAUAGCAACAUGUACCAAAAUGAUCAAUUUCGAUGGACCAAGUAACACAAACAAUAAUAAUUGUUAACAUGUCUUCAUUUAGCAACAAGGGUCUAAAAAUGGAAAUUAAUGCGCUUUGGCCAUCAUCACCGCGACAAAAUGUUGAAGAAGAAUCAUUCUCCAAACAUAUAAACUUUUGAAUAAAUUGGCAAGAUCAGAUAUGGUAUUUUCUCCAAAAAAAAAAAAAGAUCAGAUAUGGUAUGUUUUAAAGAUACGUGCAGCCAUUAUAUUUGAAAUUUUCAACAAAAUUUGUAGAAUCUUAUUCUACCACUAACUGAAUUAAACAAUAUCAUAAAAAUAAACAAUCUAUUUUAUCUUUAGUCAGCUGGUUAAAAAAGGAUUAGUCACAGAAUAAAGAAAAUAAAAUGCUUUUACAGGUUUUAGGUUCUUUUUUCUGCUGUUGUUGGUGUCAAAUCAAAUGUAUAUAUAUUUUUAAAUAAUCAUUUUCUUCUUUUUAUUAUCAUACAGUUAUUGUUGAUAUUCUCUGAUUCUCAUUGUCUCUAUGCGUGACGUUUGCUAAACAAAAAUAGAGUUCUGACUUUUCUACAUAAAUAGAAAUUCACUGCACAAGACAUGUUAUUGCUUGUUUUGUUUAUUCCAUCAACUCUCUCUAGAGAGUGAGAGAAUCUUCUUUUCUCUCAAAAACCUAAGCAGCCUGGAAGAGAGAGAGUAAGAUGUUCUGUAAUUUAACCAAAACGAAACAAAACAAAUACCUCAAUAAGGUCUCGCUAUGUCCCGAUGCAUAGAGGAGAUAACGAUCCACAGAUAUUCACUCUCUUUCAUUUUAAAUGUUUAAAGUUAAAUUCCUUUAUUUAUUUAUUUUGUUUUCAUCUUAAGGUACUUCUUCUUCACAGAGACACAUAACCCAUUCAGACAUCUUUAAUUACAGCUUUCUUUUCUUUCUCAUCUCAUCUGUUCCUUUUAUUUCAGACAAACAAACUGCAACAAACUUCAGUUUAUAAAAAGGGAAUCUUAAAACACCACUUGAGUUAAGGAAUCUCCGAAGAAUCUCUCUCUCUACCUUGUGAGUUUCUUUGUUUUCUCCAUUAGAAAGAUCUUCCUGAUUUAUCAUCUAAAAGCUUUAAAGGUUUGAUCUUUCAUUAUGGGUUUUAAUCAGUGUAUCUAUUAAGCUAUAAAGAUAUUGAGUUUCUCUUACUUUGACCAGCUUGAAGGAAUCAAACAAAAAGUUGAGCUUUUUAUUUUAUAACUCUGGAUUCCUUAUUAUGUCAUCAUGAAUUAGAUUUAUCUAUGAAUCUCGAUCUCGACCCUCUUUGUUUGUUUGUAAAACUUAAUUGAAAAAUCAAUACUUUGUUUUUUUUUUCUAGAUGGUACGCUUCAUUGAUAUUUAGAGAUUAGCUAAAAAAACCAACAAAACCAAUGGAAGAUAGUUUUCUUCAAACUCAGAACGCAGUUAUGGACACUGAGUUCAUGGAUGGGUUGCUACUAGAUGGAUGUUGGUUAGAGACAACAGACGGAUCUGAGUUUCUCAACUUGCCUCCGUUUGAUCCAUCUUCCUUCAUGUGGUCUCCACCUCAAGACACAUCUGCUAUCUGCACAUCAGGUGUAGUAUCUCAAACCUACGGUCAAGAUUGUGCAGAUGAGUUUCAGUAUAACAAAAGGUGGUGGAUAGGACCAGGAGGCGGCGGUGGUUCUUCUGUCACCGAGAGACUAGUCCAAGCAGUUGAACACAUUAAAGACUACACAACAGAGAGAGGCUCACUUAUACAGCUAUGGGUUCCUGUCAACAGAGGCGGUAAGCGAGUUUUAACCACAAAGGAACAGCCUUUCAGCCACGACCCCAUGUGUCAGAGACUUGCGAACUACAGAGAGAUCUCUGUGAACUAUCACUUCUCUGCCGAGCAAGAUGACUCCAAGGCCUUGGCUGGAUUGCCUGGAAGGGUUUUCUUGGGGAAGCUCCCUGAGUGGACUCCUGAUGUUAGGUUCUUCAAGAGCGAGGAGUAUCCGAGAGUCCAGCACGCUCAGGACUGUGAUGUCCGUGGGACGCUGGCGAUUCCGGUGUUUGAGCAAGGGAGUAAGAUUUGCUUGGGUGUUAUUGAGGUUGUGAUGACUACCGAGAUGGUUAAACUAAAACCUGAGCUUGAAAGCAUCUGCAGAGCACUUCAGGCGGUUGAUCUUAGGAGUACUGAACUUCCGGUUCCGCCUUCUCUAAAGGUAAGCAAAUAAACUACACAAGUUCUCUAGUUUCUGGUAUUGGUACCCCUAAGCAUUCGGUUCUUGGUUCGUGUUCGCUUUUUCGGUUCUUUAGAUGUUUAGGAUCCAUUCGGUUGUUUAGGAGUUUGGUUCCGUUUUUGUUCGGUUAUUUCGGUUUUCGUAGUUCGGGUAACAAAGUUGGGAACCGACUAAUAUCCAAGGUAAUUUCAGAUCCUAUUCGGUUCCAUUUUUUUGGUUAAUUCAUGUUAAAAAAGAAAGGAAAUUCAGUUUUUCGAUUAAGUAUCAGAAUUUUUGGUCUUUUCGAAUAAAAUUUGGAUAAUUCGGAUAAUUUUUAAGUUUUUUGGGUAUUCGGUUUGUGGAUAAAAUUUUAAAACUACUGUAUUUGAUUAUUUUAAAACUAAAUCUAGUUAUUUAUAAAUAUAUAAACUAUAUUAUGGUAAUUCGGGUACAUGUUUGAUUCUCCAGUUUUGGUUUUUUUGGUUCGGGAUACAUGUGCUCAGGCCUAGGUAAUGUGGUAUUAACUGCAUUGUUUGUUCUUUUAUUUCAGGGAUGUGACUUAUCCUACAAAGCUGCAUUACCUGAAAUCCGAAACCUCUUGAGAUGUGCUUGUGAGACGCACAAACUCCCUCUAGCUCAGACAUGGGUCUCAUGUCUCCAACAAAGCAAAAGCGGGUGCCGUCACAACGACGAGAACUACAUCCACUGCGUGUCAACAAUCGACGAAGCUUGCUACCUCGGCGAUCCAACGGUCCGUGAGUUCCAAGAAGCUUGCUCUGAGCACCACCUCUUGAAAGGCCAAGGAGUUGCAGGACAAGCCUUCUUGACCAACGGUCCUUGCUUCUCACCUGAUGUCGCUAACUACAAGAAGUCCGAGUACCCUCUCUCUCACCACGCUAAUAUGUUCGGCUUACACGGCGCCGUUGCGAUACGCCUGCGCUGCAUCCACACGGGGGACGCUGAUUUUGUGU